rnacentral:snRNA from 1 species
AUACUUACCUGGUGCGGGGCCUUGUUGAUCACCGAGGACGAGCCUCCGGGGUGGGCGGGAAUCGCACUGCGCUCGCGUUUUACCCGUGCACUGAACCAAACUGGGGCAGAUGGGGCAUACAAGUUUUUAAAAUCCGGUUCAACGUAGGAAGGGGCCCACCGCC